UACGAAGGGGACUAGCGUUGUUUCGGAAUCACUGGGCGUAAAGCGCACGUAGGCGGCUUUUCUAAGUCAGGGGUGAAAUCCUGGAGCUCAACUCCAGAACUGCCUUUUGAUACUUGGAGAGCUUUGAGUCCGGGAGAGGUGAGUGGGAACUCCGAGUGUAGAGGUGAAAUUCGUAGAUAUUCGGAAGAAACACCAGUGGCGAAGGCGGCUCUCUAGUACGGUACUGACGCUGAGACGGCGAAAAGCGUGGGGGAGCGAACAGGG
rnacentral:rRNA from 1 species